CGGACCUUUCGGGGUUAGUGGCGGACGGGUGAGUAACACGUGGGAACGUGCCCUUUGGUUCGGAACAACUCAGGGAAACUUGAGCUAAUACCGGAUGUGCCCUUUUUGGGGAAAGAUUUAUCGCCAUUGGAGCGGCCCGCGUCUGAUUAGCUAGUUGGUGAGGUAAAGGCUCACCAAGGCGACGAUCAGUAGCUGGUCUGAGAGGAUGAUCAGCCACACUGGGACUGAGACACGGCCCAGACUCCUACGGGAGGCAGCAGUUAGGAAUCUUGCGCAAUGGGCGAAAGCCUGACGCAGCCAUGCCGCGUGAAUGAUGAAGGUCUUAGGAUUGUAAAAUUCUUUCAGCGGGGACGAUAAUGACGGUACCCGCAGAAGAAGCUCCGGCUAACUUCGUGCCAGCAGCCGCGGUAAUACGAAGGGGGCUAGCGUUGCUCGGAAUUACUGGGCGUAAAGGGCGCGUAGGCGGACAGUUAAGUCAGAGGUGAAAGCCCAGGGCUCAACCUUGGAACUGCCUUUGAUACUGGCUGUCUAGAGUACGGGAGAGGUGUGUGGAACUCUGAGUGUAGAGGUGAAAUUCGUAGAUAUUCGGAAGAACACCAGUGGCGAAGGCGACACACUGGCCCGUAACUGACGCUGAGGCGCGAAAGCGUGGGGAGC
rnacentral:rRNA from 1 species